rnacentral:rRNA from 1 species
GACGAACGCUGGCGGCGUGCUUAACACAUGCAAGUCGAACGGAAAGGCCCUGCUUUUGUGGGGUGCUCGAGUGGCGAAAGGGUGAGUAACACGUGAGUAACCUGCCCUUGACUUUGGGAUAACUUCAGGAAACUGGGGCUAAUACCGGAUAGGAGCUCCUGCUGCAUGGUGGGGGUUGGAAAGUUUCGGAGGUUGGGGAUGGACUCGCGGCUUAUCAGCUUGUUGGUGGGGUAGUGGCUUACCAAGGCUUUGACGGGUAGCCGGCCUGAGAGGGUGACCGGCCACAUUGGGACUGAGAUACGGCCCAGACUCCUACGGGAGGCAGCAGUGGGGAAUAUUGCACAAUGGGCGGAAGCCUGAUGCAGCAACGCCGCGUGCGGGAUGACGGCCUUCGGGUUGUAAACCGCUUUCGCCUGUGACGAAGCGUGAGUGACGGUAAUGGGUAAAGAAGCACCGGCUAACUACGUG